rnacentral:snRNA from 1 species
AUACUUACCUGGCAGGGGAGAUACCAUGAUCAGGAAGGUGGUUUUCCCAGGGCGAGGCUUAUCCAUUGCACUGGGGAUGUGCUGACCCCUGCAAUUUCCCCAAANN